CUCUCCCUGCGGCGGUGAGACCCCGGCCGGCUUCCUCUGCCUCGCCUGCCUGGCUCCCUUGGCGAUGUUUGAGGUGGCGGCUCCGCUUGUGGUAAGCAGCCGCCUUAGGAAGGGAAGCCCAGAGCUAACCCCCGCCCCCAGCCAGUAUCCCACCAGAUGCUCUGUAUUAUUCUUUUCCUUUUUGUAGGAAGAGAUGGGAAUGCCUCUAGCCAAACUACUGGCUGUAGCCACCCUCAUUUUUGGGGGAAGAUUUUUGGAAAUACACAUGACAGAAGAUCGCUUCUGGUUUACAGUGUGCUGACUUUCCAUUUUUGUUAUAUAAAAAUGAAUUUUAAUACAGAAGUUAGCUAAGGCAGAGAACAUUCUGUGCAAUUCAGUAGUCAUGGACGGAUUACUCUGUGGCAAACUUUAGACUGAUCACUGUAUGAACUUCCAACAAGGUGGUGGAUCAAAUAAAUGCCUCACCUCAAGCACCUGAAAGAUCCAAAAGGGUUCCCUAAAAUGUUCCUGCAUUUUCGCUUAUCUUCUGAUACUUGUUGAAACUCUGGAUAUUCUGUGCUGUAGAAUAGCAUUCUAGAGGCUGGCUAACCUGGUUUAACUGACCAGUAGGCACUGUCACAUCUGGAGGGAAAGAUUGGCAUAAUCGUUAUCCCUCAUAAGUACUGCUUCCUUUUAGAGCAGGGGUGUCCAACCUUGGGAACUUUAAGAUUUUGGACUUCAAAUCCCAGAAUUCCCCAGCCAGCUUUUUAGAGCCAAGACAGCCCCCCAGUUUAAUGACUAGUUGACAGCUGUAAUGUGAAAAGGACAGGGCUUGAGCCUAAAUGAAGGAUUUCUUGAAAUGAAUGAAAAUGAGCACAGAGGACAGUCCACUCGGAGUGUUACACCAUCGCAAUGCAAGCAGUAGCCGAAUGCCUACUACUACUCUGCCUCUGUCACAUACCCACAGAACGAGCUGGUGUUGUUCUUCCACACUGCAGUGCUUUCAGGACCAGAGACACUACAUUGCCUCGUUUCAUAAUUAGUUUUGCAUGUUGCUUGCUUUCUCCUGCUAUAUCUGUGGAUAGGAAUGCCUUUGUCUACAGCUGGCAUCUCAUCAGGAACUUGCUUCAUUUAGAUUACUCUUUUAAUUAACUUCAGAACACAAGCAUCAGUUCAUUCUCAGCAGUCUGACAAUGCAAGGACCUGCCAAAUAAAUAGACUGCAUUUCAAUGUCAGAGUGGUUCAAGGUGUACCCCUGUCAGCUCCUGAACAAAUAAGCUGCUUAAUAGUCAGCCAUUGGAUUUGCAUUGUGGUUUGUGUGACCUCUUUCUCUUCCCAGCCACAAAACAUGUUUACUUGCCUUUCCAACUGCAGCAGUAGUUCCAAUAUGUAGCACUUGUGAAUUUCUGGUUAAAAAGAAGACUCUUGUAACCCAAGAAAGCAUAGUUAGAAGCAAUUUGUUCCUCUGAAUUAUUGCUGUGCUUUGAUGGGAACCUCAAAAUGGGAAAAAUAAACCUUUUGUGGUUCAUUGCUUAUAUAUUGCUACAGUAUACUGAUUUACCUACAUCCAGCCUUUUAGGAUAUGUGUCAGCCUUCCUAGGUAGACCAGAUAGGACCAUGAUCAGAUGAGCUAAUUCUAUUUCACUAUAAGGCUACAUUAACAAAAUCUUCCAAGUCUGAAAAUACAAAUCUCUUGCGGUCUCCUUUGCAGCCUGAAAAGCUAUCCAUUCUGAGCCUCUUUCUCCAUCCAUUAUGCAGCUGCAGGCUAUGCUCUCUCUUAUCUAACUAUUUCCUAGGCCAGAGGUCCCCAACCUUUGGGGCAUCAGGGAUUGGUUCCAUGGAGAGAAGUUUUUCCAUGGACUGGAGGAUGUGUGGUUUUGUGUGCUCUGGCAUGCCGCAGCUCUGUACUGGUCCAUGGACUGGGGGUUGGGGACCCUGCCUGAGACCUUUCUCACAUACCAUUACACAUGGAUUCAGAAGGAGAUCCAUUUGAACUGGGAUUGUGCUGGCUCAUCUCUACACUAAUGUUAUAAUCCUAUAUGGUUUUGCCUAGGAAUAAAUUCCAUUGAAUUGGACUGGACCAACCUCAGAGCAGAUACAGAUUGGAUUGCAUAUCUAAGUCAUAGUUCAAGUUUGCCUACACAGCAUCUCUUGAUUCGCAUAUUUAAAAAUAUUUUGGUGUAUGGUAGUCCUACCGUAAGUAUUCCAGGUACAUGAACAUUUUGGAGAAAAAUACUUUAGAUUUUACAGACUGUAAGAGCAAGAUGGUAUACUUAAUUAGAACUUGAGAUAAGCCUAAAAUACCUUGAGCAUAAGCCAAACUCUUUCCACAUGGAGUAGAGUAACAAUGUAUUUUCCUACAACUGGCUGUAGGAUCAGGGUUGAAUUGCUUCCAUAUAGGCAAAUUCUUGGCACUUUCCUGACAAUAGUUCAUUUAGUGACCGUUCAAAGUUACAAGGAUACUGAAAAAAACUGACAUAUGACCAUUUUUCAGAGUUACGACUUUUGAAGCAUCCUCAUGAUCAUGUGAUCAAAAUCCAGAUGCUUGGCAACUGGUUCACACUUACGAUCGUUGCUGUGUCCCAAGUUCAUGUGAUCACCUUUUGCAACCUAUCCAGUAGUAUCUCUUCCAGUGAACUCCCUCAUCAACUAUUGCUCUGGAAAAGUAUCAAUGACUAAACUAAGCCAGCAGGAAAAUAGGGUUAAAGUUAGGUCUAGGGUUGAUUUUCUUAUCAUUAACCCCAUCUCGAAUAUACAGAUCACGAAUUCCACAUUGAUUAACAAUCAAAGUCAUAAUGGCUUAGCAAUAUAACUGAAGGACUACAAGCAAACUGCACUAGGCUCCAACUUGCUUGUUUCUUUAUUUCAGGUUGAAAGGUUGUUGAAGUGGCCAAAUAAGAAUAAAGGUGCAGGAAGAAAUGAUGCUGCUUCUUUCUUGAAGGUGUGUAGUUCACAUUGGGCAGGAUCUGGGAGAAUCCUCCUGCAGAUAAAAAGUCACAGGCUUUUCUUUUUCUUUUUUUAAUCCUCUGAAUGUUUUCCUGCUACCUCUGCACAGGAGAGGAAGUCAAUGUUAUCUGUUCUGCCUCUAAUCUCCUGAUUACAGGUCUGGAGAAUUGCAAAAGAAGAGGGCCUGAGACUAGGGAAAGGAGAAGAUUUAAUAUCUUCUCUCCUCUUUUAUGUAAUUGUUCUCAAUGGAGCUACAUUCAAAGGGGCUUGCAUUGACCAAAUAGGAAUUCUCGCUCCAGCCCCAUAUUUGUAACAUAUUCAUUUAUCCAAAUAUUAAAUAAUCCUUCCUUCCCUCCCUCCCUCCCUCCCUUCCUUCCUUCUCCAUUUUAAUGUACUGGACAAUAAUUUCGGAUCCAGUGGCUUCUCGUAAAUUCUGAAGACUAACCAGCAAGCUAUCCCAGACAUUGCUGAACUCUACUCCCAGCAACUUUAGCCAUAGGACCACUGUGUUGGAAGCUGGUUGUAGCAAUUUGUGAGGUCCACAAACUCCCAGUUAAGCCCUUCCAAACAUAUGUCUCAGUCAUCAAAGCAGUUUGUUGCCUAUGUGAACUAUGAGUUUUCAUGAACUGCAGAAUAUUUUCCCCUGAUUUUCAAUGUGGCAGCACUGUUUCUUGUUAUCAUAAUGCGUAGAUUCCUUUCUUUGCUUCCUCCAAAAAAAGUUCAGUAGAUGAGGACAGCAACCUACAGCAGUUCUGUCACAAAGCAAUAAAAUUCUAUAAACAACAUUGCCCUCUUCUCGGUGUUAUUGUAAAGAAUUGUCUAUUGGACAAAACAGAUAAAUAAUAGGGAGAAAAGAUUUCAUAUUUUUGUUGAAUCAUCAGUUUGAUAGCUUGUAGUGUUAGCUUUCAUUUCAGAUUUCUUUAAACAGAAAUGAAAAAUAGUUUAUUUGUUCAUUUGAUUCAUUUUUCAUCCUGAAUUUGUUUUGGAUUAUCUGUCUCUAGACAGUUCCUUAUAAAACCAGUUUUAACUAAUCUACAGUCUAAACAUUAGAGCCAAAGAGGUCAUGGCAAAAAUUAUUUCUAGUGUUUACUCAAGAUUCUUGUCGCCAUUCUCCUCCAUCAAAAGCUGGUAUACUCAUUCUGUUCAUGUAUAUAUACAUAUACAUAUAUAUAUAUGUAUAUGUAUAUGUAUAUAUGUAUGUAUAUUCAGUAUGGUAUACUCAUACUGUUCAUGGCCAUAAUAACAGACAGAUUGCAUUUCUGCUUUUGAACAAAAGUUUAAAGUUCACUGUAGGUAAACAGGAUUUGUUUUAUUUUGGCCUCAGCUUUCACUCAGAAUACAUGCAAACACCAAAUCUGUAUUGUUAUGGUGGAGACUGGGAACAUUGACAAAGAUCAGCACUACCUAUUAAUACAUCCCAUGAUAUAAAGGACAAGGCCUAACUUUAAACAGAUACCUCCUUAAUUAGCUUUAUAAUAGAUUGAACAAGCUUGUGAAACAUUGCCAAAUCUUUAAAUCAUAUUCAAACACACACAUAUAGCCUAAUAAUCACAUUUCUUGAAACCUUCUAGCAAGGCUACAUUGACUAUUUUCUGGACAAUUAUUGCCUCACCUUUCUCGCCUACAAGCAAAACUUGUUUGUUUGGGUGUGUUCUUGCCACAGCUGAAUGUUCUCAUGCACUGAUUUUGAAAUGUCAGCAAUCUUGGCUUUGCUGCCACGCUCUUUGGAAUCUGCCAGAAGCUCCACUUUGCCUUGACCCUGAAUAAUAAGGGUCAGUUGAGGCAAAACCAGCUAGAAAAGUCAGCCACACCUACCUGCUAGAUUUGGAGCAAGAUCCAUAGUUCGUUUGAGAGAAAUAUGCCCUAGAAAGAAGGAAGGAAACUACAGCUCUUUUCUGCUUUUCAUUUUGGCCCAAAGAAUAAUUUCAAACCCAAGUGGGAAAAUGGAUGGUCUGACACACUGGUAAAGAAGCUGGAUUAAAAAAACAACAACUAGUUAAAUGUCCAGAUAAGAAUAAAAAUAUUCUGAAAUCCCCUAGCUCGGAGUUCCUUUGCAGACCAGCGGGGGAGGGAGGCAGAGGGAGAUGGACAGGGGAUGGCUCAGUGCAAGUGGCGGGCAAGCGCACGCAAAGUUCCAUUUGCACAAGUGGGCAUGUGCGCCCGCUGCUCAUACAAAUGAGCAUGCGCAUGUACGCUCACCUAUCUCUUCUGUAGCCUGGUUCUGAACAGUUCACAGCCCAUUGCUGUGCCGCAGCCUGGGGGGUUGGGGACCCUUGGCCUAGCUCUUAGAAAUGCUUUUAGGAAAAAGAAGAAUAUGGAAUACUAGGCAAUGUUGAAUAGAGUGUAUAUGAGGGUUUUUACAGAAUCUCUAUAAGAUAGAUCUCAUAGUCAUCUUCUAAACAAUCCUGAGAGAUGUCAAUUUGAGAUGGAAUUGUGAUUCCUGCAUUUGAGAAACCUUAUAGGAGGAGAGUGCUUUUGCCUUGUUUUUAUCCUAUUGGUAGGCAAAGAAAGCACACCAUUUUGCCAGAAUUCUCCAGCAGUUUCUCGAGCUUGUCAGUAGCAGUAACAUUGAAAUAAAGCAAUAGCAGUAUCAACAGAGCCAGUUUGAUCUAGUGGUUAAGACAUUUGUCUAGAAAUUAGGAUACAGUGAGUUCUAGUCCCACCUAUGAAAGUCAGCUUUGGUGACACUGGGCCAGUCACUCUCUCAGCCCAACCCACCUCACAAGAUGGUUGUUGUGGGAAAAAUAGGAGGGGGGAGUAUUAGGUUCACCACUUUGAGUUAUUUAUAAACAGUAAUAAAGGUGGGAUAAAAAUUAAAUAAAAUGUAUAAAUUUUGGUUACCAUUUUAUCUGUUCCAUGGUGUCAGAGAUGCAAAGAGAACCAAUGUUGUUGGAUAUUGGAUAUGGCAGUAGGAUAGUAGUGAUCACUAUAAGAAUAGGGGAGAAUUUGUGGAAAAUAUUCUGCAAAACUGUCCUUUUCUAUAGUAAAAUACUGUAGUGGGACACCUGAUCCUUCACUAACACACAGAACCCCCAUGCUCCAAAUCUCAAUCCAAUCGACACCAUAACUGAUUGGAGAAUGCAUGCAUAUCUGUAUUUGGGGAAAAUAUUCUGAUUGCUGUGAUGUUCAGAUUGCUGACAGUCUGCAAAAAUGGAAACUUUCAAAAAUGUCAGAAGUCAAGGAUUCAUUCUUAAAUCAUUUUUAAGAUAUCUAAAUCUGUUGCUUAGGAAGCCACUUAGAUGAAUGGAGCAGUAUACAAUCACUCAUAAGAAAUAAUACAUAAAUAUGACCCACUAGACUUUGAUAACACAUAAUCUGUGUUCUAUAAUAGGAAUGUGCAAAGAAGCAUCCAUCAGAUGAAAAAGAAUCAACGAAGUAGGAAUCAGGUGGAUGCAAAGCAGUCUGAAGUCUUUUAAAGUGUCAUAAGGUUCAGUGACAUGACAUUUACAGUGCUUUGGCAGUUAUAGAGUUUAUAUAACAUUUCAAGGCCACUCCCAUUGGGCUGAGGGAUGUGACACAAGUUCUUGAUGGCCAAUGAAUGUUAUCAGCUCAUUAAACUUCCUUCCCCUUCAGAUGGUAAGACUAAUGCUACCUUGGGCUUCCCUCAUUUGCUCAGCUACUCAUGAGCUUUGGGUCUUUUUUUCUAGUGCAGUGGUCCUCAAAUUCUUCAGCUCCUCAACUCCCUCAUGAAGUUUCAGAUUCUUCAUUGACCCCCAAGCAUUUAUUAUAUGAAAUUAAUGUAAUAAUUAACUGAUAAUACUAUGAACAACAAUAACAGAUAGUUCCAUUGACUCUUGACUACUUUGAGCACUCAACUGGAAGCAAAAUUCUCAGUGAUCUGUGCAUGGGCUGAAGGCCAGUCGAUCUAAUACUUACUCUUAACAAGUACUAGCUCAACAUUUACUCUUUUAAGUCUGAAGGCUCACCAUGCUUGCUUGCUUUUGCUGCCUCUGCUAACUUACAUUUAGAAUAAGUUCAUUGCCACUCACCUAUGAAUGACUCCCCCCCCCAGGAGAGCUUGCCAAUUAGUUAUGCAAAUGCUCCAGUCAUACCACAUACUAAGAAGCAGAAGCAGCAAAGCCACAUCACACAAUAAAGUCGCUUCAGGAGACCUGAAGAGGUCAAUCCUUCCUGGAACCCCAAUUAACUCAAUGAUGGAAUACUACUGUGUCUCCCUGAAAAUAAGACCUGGUCUUAUAUACUUUUUUCCCUCCAAAAGAGGCCGCAGUCUUAUUUUUGAGAGAUGUCUUAUUUUCUCCCCCGACACCUGCCUUGACUUUCAGCAGUGGCAUCGACAGCCCUGUCUAGCAGAAGCCCGUGUGGCCAUUGGCCCACUUCUGCAAAUGUUCACAGGCCGCGUGCUUGCUGCGCUGCUGCCGCAAGGCAAGGCAGGUCGGGGAGGUGAUAGAAAUGCCCCAAGUGCCCCAUAGGCGCUCAAACACUUUUUGCCCAGAGGGAGAUUGGAAGCUUUGUCUGGUUGCAAAUGGAGCGCUUGAAAAUGGGGCUAAUCGCUCUGUUCCCAAGCACCACAUUUGGAAGCAGACAAAGCUUCCAGUCUCCAUCAUUUCUCUGGGUGAAAAGUGUUUGGGCACCUAUGGGGCGUUUGGAAAGAUCCACUCCCCCGGGUAUAUUUUUGCGGUAGGGCUCAUAUUAGGUCCACCCCCCCCCCAAAAAAAAAUCAGGCUAGGGCUUAUUUUUGGGGUGGAUUUUAUUUUCGGGGAAACAUGGUAGCUCCUGAGUGGGGAACUUCUCAGGUAACUGUGCCAAUCUUACUGGUAUCCCAAAAAAGCAAACAGUCCAGAAGGACACAUCAGUAAUAAUUCUGCAGUAUUGUGCCAAGUUUAGAAGUCCAGAAGAGCAAGUGGAAAAGAACUUACUUUUAAACAGCUUUGGGGAUAAGAUAUUUACUAUUCUAAGUCCGUGCAUCUUAGGCAGUUUUCUGUGCUGCCCUCUUCUCAAACCUUUUUUAUUUCUGCCUCAAAAGAGGAGAAACUCUUGAAGAUAUCCAGCUGAUGCCAGAUAGCAACAUGUCUUCUAAUGAAUCUUCCGUUCCUCCUAUGUUCACCCCAUGCAGCAUUUAAAGAUAUUUUGAUACCAUUAUAACUUCGAAGAAGCUCAAAUCAAAUCCCUUUGUUCCCAAAUCAUGAAUUGCAAAUUCAGUUUGAACUCCACCUUCUUCCAAUCUUCAAUCUAUAAUUCAAAUCAAAUCAGGGCAUAGUCUAAAAAUAAAGCAGAUGAUGUCAACUUUGCAUCAAUAAGAACUAGCUACAAAUCUUUGUUGACAGGCUCAUUGCAUUAUUUUAAACAAUCUAAUAUUGCUCAACAUAGAGUAACCCAGGUAUAAUACAAUAAUCAGAUAUAACACAUCAUCAUGCUAUUAGAUAAAGAAAUGUACACUUUAUCAAAUUUGCAAUUGAAUCCCUAAUUUGUAUUUUUACAAAGACAAUAGUUAACUCUUUAUUUAAAACAGGAGAAACAGUGGCCUACUAUUUCAAACUAUCUGGAAUAUCUAAAAUUACUCUUCUACGUAAAUCAAGUGCAGAUGUGUUUUUAACGCUGCACUUACUCAGUUUUAUGAACUGAGCCAAUAUUCUUCAGAUUAUAUUUGCCCCAUCUUAUUUCUUCUAAACCAAACAGAAUAUGUAAAUAAAAUACUUAAAAUUUAGCUUAAAAAUAACAUUACAACUGUUUUCAUUAUCACUUCAGGUUAUGAACUUAGUGAAGGUAAUGUUUCCUUUGAAUCAACCUUGACUUUGGCAACUUCAUGUACAUAUUUUGUUUCCAACAUCAUGGAAGUGGCUUGUUAUUGCCUUCUGGUUUUUUUUUUCUUUGUUUAACUGGGUUUGGAACAGAAAAGCUUAAUACUCACUUAUUUCAGCUGAUCACCAAUAUGUUUUGAAUAUAUUAAAAAGAUAUUUAGUCUAAAAAAUUAUGUUUUAGAAAAAUUAAAGGGAUACCAUUUUAUUUUACUAUUUUAAAGCUUUACAUUGAAGCUUCAAACUAAGAACACAUAAAGUAAAUUGACACAUUUUGUUCAACAACAUAUAAAGAAAAUCUUUGAGGGAAAGUACUUUCAGUUCUAAUAAAUGAAUAACAAUAAUAGAGAAAGUGGUGCUGUAGAUCUAUGCCAGGCAACAACCAAUCUCAGUGAUGAUUAAUCAAGAUUGAUAAGCAGCCACCUGAUAUGUUCAUAAGAUCAUCAAUAAGAUUUAGUUUCCAGACUUCCGGUUCUGGAACGUGGCGAUGCCGGUCGUGCCUGGAAAAUUCUCUCUAGGCCGUCCGGAGUUUCCUUUGCCGGUAGACCCCCUAGGGUGUCGAAAGUUGCCCUGGAGGGGCAACCACCGAGGAGGAGGCCGGCUGGUAGAUAGGGGAGGGCAGCAGCUUCCCCCAAAUCUUCAGCUUCUCUUUAGGGCCGACGGAGCAAAGAUCGGCCUGUAAGAUGGCCGAUCACCCUGCUGCACCAGCCGAAAGUCACGUCGUCACCUAAGCCUUAAUGACCCACCGCGGAUGAUCCAGGUGAGAUCCCUUUUGUUCCUCUCCAUACCCCUGCUAUUUUUGCCUGUAGAAGCUGUUUGUGCUAUCAUUUCCCCAUCUGGAGAAAGCAGCUUUAGUAAACAUGGGAACAAACGCGUUUUACAAAAAGGACAGAAAUAACAAAUAAAUAUUCAUUUAAAGACUAUACUCUAUUCCUACUUACAUUGUGCUGUAGAAAAAAACUUUUUUGUGUUUUUUUGGAGCAGUAUUAUAUUGGCAGAGCAUUUCUUUUUCUAUUCUCCCUUUAAAAGAUAGAAAAAAGGG